CGCUGUAAUGGAACACGUCAGUGUUCGUUGGGUCAGCACCAAGCUCGAUGGAAAUGUUUGCUCAAAUGCACUGAACGGUUCAGGCGCUAGAGUGCAACCUGUGGUCAGGGGCGCUGGCAUGUAGAGGCACCCUUCCUUCCCUUUCAGCAGCGACGCUGUCUACAGCCCCCUUGUGCUUUCCUCAAUGUGGAGCACACUCCUGUACAAAGCGGCGUCUCCAUCUAUCUCUCAUCCUCUUCCAGACAAAGCUCUCUAGCUCCAGUGCUCAUCCUCCAGCAGUCACAGAGUUUCCCCCGCUUUCUCUGUCUCUGUCUCUGCAGUGACUAACACUCAGGGCUGAGCCCAGCUCGCUGCCGCUAGAUUCCGGUUUCAUUGCUGCACCGCGAAGUGGUAACAGAAGGGAACCCCGGUAAGUGCUGAACUGAGCAGGAUCCAAGUCGAAGGCGUGUAUCACCUCCCCCCCCCAACUUCCUGAGGGUUCAGGGGGGGCGGGGGCAGGCAGGAAAUCCGUUUAACAGAAGUGCCCUACCCUGAACUUCUCUUAUUCUGAGCGUCUGCAAUAAAUCAGCAGCGGGAAUAAUAGUUUUGGAUGAGAUAUCGAACAUGUAUGAGACGCAUGAUCGCUGUGUUUAAAGAGGCAGGAGUCGGAAAUGCAAGCACUCCUUGGGUUUCCAUGACUGACUAUUUCAGAGCUGGAAGUUUACUGGGACCUGCAUAUGGUGAAGGCUGUAGCUUGUUGAUAAAUAGGUGAAGCGGUCAUUUGUACCACUUUAAUUCUAAUUAGCCCACUUAAAAUGUGGGCUUGGUAGUUUGACAUGUUGUCUGUACAGCACUCAGCCAGUGAGGCGACACUUCAGAUCACUCGGAGUCCAUAAACAAAGGGUUAUUUUGGAACUUCGACACCAUGCCACUUCAUCAAAGCCUAGGGUACAUGUGACAACAGCCGUACGGGAGCAAGAAAGCCAAAAUCCAACUCUGUCAGUGAACUGACCUAGUGCCUUCCUGUGGCUAUUGGCAUGUCAUCAUUGCAAAGUUAUAUCUUCUAUUCAGGACAUCAUUUGAGCCCAAAUCAAAGGUAAUCAGAUGAUAUGAAGCUCUGUGGGGAUAAAUUAAUAGAGGAGGAGCGGAGGGUGAUAGCUAACAACCGUGAAUAUAACGAAAAGUUUCAAUAUGCUGUAA